rnacentral:sRNA from 1 species
GCAUGGCCCAGCCCUCCCUGCCCCGCUCAGACCGAGCUCUCAAGCUCCGAAGCUGCCUUCUCCUCUCCAAUCGCCAAGUUCCCAGAGGAAGAAGAUUGGCGUGUUCUUGCUGUCUUCCUGGGAAGGAACCGGAGUUACAAGGGAACCCAGGGAUGUCACUUCUAAAGGCAGUACCUAGCCAGAGAGACAUUUAGCCCAGAAGUGCCUCUUCCUUGUUCGUCACACAGGCUGGAGACACUGAUGUCUCCAUCCCAUCAAAGGAAAAGAUAUAUACAGACAGACAGACAGACAGACAGACACACACACACACACACACACACACACACACACGUGCAUACCCUCCAUAUGAAAGGACAAAUGUUACCAGGGACAGAGAAAGCUGACAGGGGUCUUAUAGUAAAACGGAACCUGGGCUAUGUGUGUCUGAUACUGCCUUGCCAUAUGGUGCCUUUUUAAGGCCUGUCCAAUCCCAGAUUACUUCUGUUUGCCACAAACUGGAAACACUCACCUACUGUCUUGGUAAAGAACUCGAGGUCACUCAGCUGGCAACAAAAGAGCCUAUUACAGCCUGGUGAGCAGGUGAGUGUCCUGGGGUCAGCCUGUUUGCUUUGGGAAGACUCUUUUCGUCAGUUUCGAUAUAACUGAUCAUCUGUCGCUCCACAGCCUUGCUGAGAGGACCUGAUGUGGAUAUUUAACCUCUUCAUCUAGAAACCUUUCUCUCCUCAAUGGUCAUGGAGGAUUGAGCCUCCCAAGGCCUUAAUAGUAUCCGUGCGAGCUUUACACCAGAUGUAGUUUUCCUUUGGCGUCUCAAAUGGCUGCCAUUUUGGUGACUUCUGGAGCUGAGAUGCUGCCUGCUGGCUUCAACAGGGCUGGUGGUCCCUUCCCUAGCAUAUGGGAAGGGGCCUGCUGACAUAGCCCUGGCUUACUUUCCACUUGGGUAAUUACAUUCUGCAGACUUGCAAGUUUCCCACCAGGUCCAUCUUUUGGAACAGAAUGCCUUCUCUGUGCUGGGUUGCUGGCCUGCCCUCUGAGAUGGGAAUGGCCGAUGGAUUGCAUUUCAAGCUGCAGGAAGUGCAGAACCAGGUGCAAACGCUUUCUCCUACCAAGUGCAGCUUCUCGCCUCGGAAUGAGCUGUAGGCCAAACCUCCACUGUCCAGGAUGAACUGUGCCUGUAGCAAGCUGAACAGUGACUGACCCUCUGCUAAAAAUUGAAGGCGCGUCCCAGUCUGGGGUGAAACACUAGCGAUGAAAACGGUCUCUAAACCGUGGCAGAGAAAAAAGAAAGAAAGAAAAGAAAGCAAGCAUUGCCAGGCUCUGCUGCUGUCUCCGUGGGUCAUUCCCACUCCCAAGGAUUUCCGUGUCGGUUCUGAUCAAUCAGGAUGGUGGGAGGUGACCCAGUUUCACAGCAUCUGAAGCCAUUCCAUUUUUCUGUGAUACAAUUCCAUUGUGGGCCAAGCAGAAAGGUCCGGCAGAGAGACGCACACCUUCUCUUAAAAUGCCUUCUUCAGAGAAGUUGUUUCUCAGACAGGAGGAAAAAGAAAUCUGAAGCAUGUGUCCUGGGCUGAAACUCUCCCCUGGUUACCAACCUUCCCGAGCACAAGGUGGGAUGGUCUAAGAGUCUGACCUUUCGGGACUAAGAACAUGUAGAGCUGAGAAGGAAUUCAAACCAGUCUGUUUUUUUAAGCACUGGUGAUAUAACCUGUGAAACCCACAACACUGUAAAACUGGUAAUUUGUAAAUUCCUCGGUGGCACAGAAAACUAAUCUGGCAAAGAGAAAAACAGUGAAUGAUAUUCACUUUCUCCACAACUCUUUCCUUUGUUUACGAUCACAGCAAUGCCUUCUUUGAUAAGCAACUCAAAAAUCAAAGAAAAACCACCAGCCAGAGGAGACAAUAAGUCCAGUCAAAAGAGAUUUGGGACCUACCUUUAAUCCCUAAUAAUGGUCCAGAAAACCGUUUCCUUCUUGCUUUUAUAGUGUCUUCGACAAGUCCAGCGGAGGCACUAGCCGGGCAAGCAAUUUUAUGCUGGCCUCUUCAGAUAGCUUUGUGUAAUUUACAUUAUUUUUAAUUUCAGUAAUAGUAACUAGCGGGCUCAGGCAAUAAGCACUUUUUAACAAUGAAUAAAUAAAGAAACCUCUCAUAUUUCAAUUAAGUAAUGGAACGAAAUCAUAAUGAGAAUGGCUGUUUCAUUUUAGUCGGCUGUUGCCCAAAGAAUGUUCAUUAGACACGUUGCACUGUUAAUAUUUGUAAUGUUUGCACUAAUAUAAUUCAUAUUAUGGCGUUCACGGUAAUAUUGGGGAGUUUGGAGAACACUAAUCUCUCAUAGAGUGAGCCAUUGCACCAACACAGAAUCCUGUUUUCAUUGGACCAACAGGGUCACCCUUGGCUUGAAAAAAAUCGUUAUUUUUAAUCUGCGUGUAUUUGUCUGUGUAGGGUGUCUGUGCGCCACAGUGUGCAUGCGGAGGUCAGAAGACAGCCUCGGGUAUCAGUCCUUGCUUUCAGUCUUGUUGAGGAUGGUUCUCCGCCUGGACACUGCAGUGCGUGGCACCUUAGCUGGGCUGUGUCAUUCCGGGAUUCUCCUGUCUCUGUCUCUCCUCUCGUGUAGGAACACUGGGGCCGUACCACACAUGCAACCAAACUCAGCCUUGUGUGGAUUCUGGGGAUCCAAAGGCUCGCAGAGCAAACACAUUACCCACUGACCCCCCUCCCUAACCCUGCCUUUGCCUUCUUAAUUCUUGUCGUUUGAUAGAUGUGAGGGAACGAGGGCUGAGGGUUGAAGAGAUGCGGUUGGCCCCGUUUACUUAGACAUCUAAAAAAGUUAUCCAGCCUCUGCUCUGUUUUUAGGUUAUAUACCGGAGAAUGCAAGGUCAUGUGACUAAGGAUAUAUUUAGUUAGGUGGGAGUGUAUACAUACAUCAUUCUAGCCAAUAAUGGUACUGACGAAGCCAACUACUAUUUUUUUUCUCAGAUUAUAACACAUAGUGAUUAUUUAUGAAAACCUCCUGUAGCUCUUCUGGAUUAAAUGCAAGUUUCAGAACAUGUGUGUAUACUACACAGAGAGUGCUUACUCUGGUUCGAACGCAUUUGAAGUUGGUUGUGGCAGUACAUACUUUCUAUCCUAGCACUAUGGAUGCUGAGACAGAAGGGUGGCAAGUUCAAGGCGUGUGUGGGACACAUAGUGAGACUACAUCUUUUUAAAAGUUGCUUAUAUGGGGCUGGAGUGAUGGCUCAGCAAUUCAGAGCAUUUGUUGAUCUUUCAAAGGACCUGAGUUCAGAACCCAGUACCCACAGUGGUUCAGGGCUGUGGUUCCAGGGAAUCUGAUCUCCCCAUCCUGGCCUCAGGGUCACAUGUGGUCACAUACACACAUUCAGGCAAAUAUGAUUUUAAAUACAUUAUUUUAAAGCAAUAGUUAUUUUUACAUGACUCAUUGUUUGAAUUCAUUUCAAAGAGGCAAAAUAAUGUAUGAUUAUAUAUAAUUUUAAUAGCAUGAAUUCACCCUAUCUCUUUGGUCCACAAAUAUUUAUGAAUUUUAUAAUUUCAUGCACACUCCUUCCAGUUUGAGACUGUCUGAAAGAUGAUCCAUCCUGUCAUUUAAGACAUUAAAGCACUGUAUGGGGCUGGAGAGAUGGCUCAUUUGAUUAAGAGCACUGACUGCUCUUCCAGAGGUCCUGAGU